UCCCGUUGAUCCUGCGGGAGGUUGCUGCUAUUUGGAUUCGACUAAGCCAUGCAAGUCAAGGGUUCUUCGGAAUACCGGCAAACUGCUCAGUAACACGUCGAUAAUCUGCCCUUAGGUCAGGAAUAACCUCUGGAAACUGAGGCUAAAACCUGAUAUGGGAAUUCUACUGGAAGGUGUUUUCUCUUAAAAGCAAUGCCUAAGGAUGAGUUGGCGGUCGAUUAGGUUGUUGGUGAGGCAACGGCUCACCAAGCCUAUGAUCGAUAGGGGCCUUGAGAGAGGUAACCCCGAGAAGGGAACUGAGACACUGGCCCUAGCCCUACGGGGUGCAGCAGGCGCGGAACCUUUACAAUGCACGAAAGUGUGAUAAGGGAAUCCAAAGUGCUUUGCUUUUAGCAAGGCUUUUGCCAAGAGUAAAUAUUUUGGCGAAUAAGUGGUGGGUAAGACUUGUGCCAGCCGCCGCGGUAACACCAGCGCCACAAGUGGCAAUCACUUUUAUUGGGCCUAAAGCGUCCGUAGCCGGUCUAGUAAAUUUCCUGUGAAAUCGUUAGGCUUAACUUAACGGUAUGCAGGAGAGACUACUAGACUUGGGACCGGGAGGCGUCAGAGGUAUUUCUGAGGGAGCGGUAAAAUGCUAUAAUCUCAGAAGGACCCCCUGUGGCGAAGGCGUCUGACGAGAACGGAUCCAACGGUGAGGGACGAAAGCUAGGGGAGCGAACCGGAUUAGAUACCCGAGUAGUCCUAGCUGUAAACACUGCGAACUAGGUGUUGCAUAUUCUUCGGGAAUGUGCAGUAUCGAAGCGAAGGUGCUAAGUUCGCCGCCUGGGAAGUAUGGUUGCAAGACUGAAACUUAAAGGAAUUGGCGGGGGAGCACUACAAGGGGUGCAGCGUGCGGUUUAAUCUAAUUCAACACAGAGAAUCUCACCAGAAGCGAUGGCAGGAUGAAGGUCAGGUUAAAGGCCUUACCUAACAGGCCAAGAGGUAGUGCAUGGCCGUCGUCAGCUCGUGCCGUAAGGUGUCCUGU
rnacentral:rRNA from 1 species